rnacentral:misc_RNA from 1 species
ACCACUUCUUCCACCUCUUCGCCACCACACUCUUCCACAGCCACAACACACGCGCCGCCAUCUCUCACCGUUCUCUCCAUUUCCCUCACGUAUCGGGCCGGAAACAAGGCCCGUUCUAAGUACGGGCUGAACCCGAAAUGAAACACCUUAUCCAAAAAGGGCAGAUUGUGUGGAUCCGCACGGCGCACCAGAGGAUGCGAUUCAACAACCUCGAUGCCGGAGACAUGGUUAACCCCCAUGUUAUUCAGGGCCAUAACAGAAUGACCCGCCCCGGCUGAUACAACUAAGAUCCGAGAAUUGUUGGAGAAGAAAUUUUGGGCCUGGAGGGAUUGGAAUUGAAUUGUGAAAGAAUGUACAGUUUGGAUCCAUGAUUUGGUGGACCAUAUACGGCGAUUGUGUUUGUUUAUAUUGGUAAAAGUUCGAUGGGUGAAAUCGCAGGUGGAUUUGGGGAAUUUUUGUUGGGGCUUUGGAUUGGGAUUGAUGAAGGUCUGUGGGGUUUUGAGGUAAAGGAGGAGAAGGGUUAGUGUCGCAAUUGUAAUGGAUAUGAAGGAGAUUUUGUUGAGGAAGCUCUCCAUUGAUGAAUCAAUCCCGA